UCCUCUUUCACAAGGCAACUAAGCAGCUGAUUGUCAUAAUGAGUUCCAUUAUGGCAAAGUAAUGAAAUUAUGAAAUAAGGGAAACUACUUUUCAUUCAAACAUCCUAUCCAAGAUUCAAUAAAAUCAACAGAAGUCUAUCAGGUCAUCUGUGAGAAGCUAUAUCCAGUCUAUUAUCAGAUCAGUCGAUGGUACAAGGUCGACCUUCAUUGUUUAGAAACAAACUGGAGAUUGUAUGAUGCUGCUUCUUCUUAAAAAAUGUAGAAAUAUUACAGAAUCCUACUACUGCUACCAAAAUUUCGUCUGCCAUGACGUUUAUGGAAGAUUACUACAAAUUUACUUAUUUAACAACACUUUGUUAUUAACAUCGCUAGAUUUAAGCAACUUUAGUGGUUUUUUUGAUGUGUGACAAAUAAAUGUGUUCGUUGGCAUUAUA